rnacentral:misc_RNA from 1 species
CCGGAUUCCAGGUUCCUUUUUCUUACUAGGUUUAAAUGAAAUCCUUUUUUUUCUUUAUUAGUAAUUCUACUGUCAUUCAUUAAAACCUUCCGAUUAGUUCUAACUAUCAAAUGCUAAGUUUCAACAACUUAUAUUUCUUGUUAUCAUUAAGAAAAUAUGUUUAUUGUUUUCUUUCACUUACUUGAAAAUUGUGUUCCUGUUAGGGUAAACAGGUUAUUACUCUUUGAAGAGUACACAUAGAAUAGCUGAAGUGCUCUAGUGAUUAUUUUGUUUCUGUGAAGUAAAUCAAUUGAUCUAACAAAUGAACCCUAAUGG